rnacentral:rRNA from 1 species
GGGUUGUGAGGUUAAGCGACUAAGCGUACACGGUGGAUGCCCUGGCAGUCAGAGGCGAUGAAGGACGUGCUAAUCUGCGAUAAGCGCCGGUAAGGUGAUAUGAACCGUUAUAACCGGCGAUUUCCGAAUGGGGAAACCCAGUGUGACUCGUCACACUAUCAUUAACUGAAUCCAUAGGUUAAUGAGGCGAACCGGGGGAACUGAAACAUCUAAGUACCCCGAGGAAAAGAAAUCAACCGAGAUUCCCCCAGUAGCGGCGAGCGAACGGGGAGGAGCCCAGAGCCUGAAUCAGCAUGUGUGUUAGUGGAAGCGUCUGGAAAGGCGCGCGAUACAGGGUGACAGCCCCGUACACAAAAGCGCAUAUGCUGUGAGCUCGAUGAGUAGGGCGGGACACGUGGUAUCCUGUCUGAAUAUGGGGGGACCAUCCUCCAAGGCUAAAUACUCCUGACUGACCGAUAGUGAACCAGUACCGUGAGGGAAAGGCGAAAAGAACCCCGGCGAGGGGAGUGAAAAAGAACCUGAAACCGUGUACGUACAAGCAGUGGGAGCCCCACCACCAAAGCAUUCUCUGGUGUUGAAGGCCCUGCAAAGCAGCAUCGCGGUGGCGGAGCGUCGUUUGCGACGCCCAACGCACAAAACAAGCGGUGAGUGCUUUGGGGUGGGGUGACUGCGUACCUUUUGUAUAAUGGGUCAGCGACUUAUAUUCUGUAGCAAGGUUAACCGAAUAGGGGAGCCGGAGGGAAACCGAGUCUUAAUUGGGCGUUAAGUUGCAGGGUAUAGACCCGAAACCCGGUGAUCUAGCCAUGGGCAGGUUGAAGGUUGGGUAACACUAACUGGAGGACCGAACCGACUAAUGUUGAAAAAUUAGCGGAUGACCUGUGGCUGGGGGUGAAAGGCCAAUCAAACCGGGAGAUAGCUGGUUCUCCCCGAAAGCUAUUUAGGUAGCGCCUCGUGAAUUCAUCUCCGGGGGUAGAGCACUGUUUCGGCUAGGGGGCCAUCCCGGCUUACCAACCCGAUGCAAACUGCGAAUACCGGAGAAUGUUAUCACGGGAGACACACGGCGGGUGCUAACGUCCGUCGUGAAGAGGGAAACAACCCAGACCGCCAGCUAAGGUCCCAAAGUCAUGGUUAAGUGGGAAACGAUGUGGGAAGGCCCAGACAGCCAGGAUGUUGGCUUAGAAGCAGCCAUCAUUUAAAGAAAGCGUAAUAGCUCACUGGUCGAGUCGGCCUGCGCGGAAGAUGUAACGGGGCUAAACCAUGCACCGAAGCUGCGGCAGCGAACGUAUCACUUAAAGCGAUUCAGCGGGUUACGAUUGACGGAGCGAAGCGACGUCAAAGCGUAUACAAAGUCGAGUCGGUUUAAGGAUACGUUCGUUGGGUAGGGGAGCGUUCUGUAAGCCUGCGAAGGUGGCCUGUGAGGGUUGCUGGAGGUAUCAGAAGUGCGAAUGCUGACAUAAGUAACGAUAAAGCGGGUGAAAAGCCCGCUCGCCGGAAGACCAAGGGUUCCUGUCCAACGUUAAUCGGGGCAGGGUGAGUCGACCCCUAAGGCGAGGCCGAAAGGCGUAGUCGAUGGGAAACGGGUUAAUAUUCCCGUACUUGGUGUUACUGCGAAGGGGGGACGGAGAAGGCUAUGUUGGCCGGGCGACGGUUGUCCCGGUUUAAGCGUGUAGGUGUGUGUUCCAGGUAAAUCCGGUUCACUUUAACACUGAGGCGUGACGACGAGGCACUACGGUGCUGAAGCAACAAAUGCCCUGCUUCCAGGAAAAGCCUCUAAGCAUCAGGUAACAUCAAAUCGUACCCCAAACCGACACAGGUGGUCAGGUAGAGAAUACCAAGGCGCUUGAGAGAACUCGGGUGAAGGAACUAGGCAAAAUGGUGCCGUAACUUCGGGAGAAGGCACGCUGACACGUAGGUGAAGUGAUUUACUCAUGGAGCUGAAGUCAGUCGAAGAUACCAGCUGGCUGCAACUGUUUAUUAAAAACACAGCACUGUGCAAACACGAAAGUGGACGUAUACGGUGUGACGCCUGCCCGGUGCCGGAAGGUUAAUUGAUGGGGUCAGCGCAAGCGAAGCUCCUGAUCGAAGCCCCGGUAAACGGCGGCCGUAACUAUAACGGUCCUAAGGUAGCGAAAUUCCUUGUCGGGUAAGUUCCGACCUGCACGAAUGGCGUAAUGAUGGCCAGGCUGUCUCCACCCGAGACUCAGUGAAAUUGAACUCGCUGUGAAGAUGCAGUGUACCCGCGGCAAGACGGAAAGACCCCGUGAACCUUUACUAUAGCUUGACACUGAACAUUGAGCCUUGAUGUGUAGGAUAGGUGGGAGGCUUUGAAGCGUGGACGCCAGUCUGCGUGGAGCCGACCUUGAAAUACCACCCUUUAAUGUUUGAUGUUCUAACGUGGACCCGUGAUCCGGGUUGCGGACAGUGUCUGGUGGGUAGUUUGACUGGGGCGGUCUCCUCCUAAAGAGUAACGGAGGAGCACGAAGGUUGGCUAAUCCUGGUCGGACAUCAGGAGGUUAGUGCAAUGGCAUAAGCCAGCUUGACUGCGAGCGUGACGGCGCGAGCAGGUGCGAAAGCAGGUCAUAGUGAUCCGGUGGUUCUGAAUGGAAGGGCCAUCGCUCAACGGAUAAAAGGUACUCCGGGGAUAACAGGCUGAUACCGCCCAAGAGUUCAUAUCGACGGCGGUGUUUGGCACCUCGAUGUCGGCUCAUCACAUCCUGGGGCUGAAGUAGGUCCCAAGGGUAUGGCUGUUCGCCAUUUAAAGUGGUACGCGAGCUGGGUUUAGAACGUCGUGAGACAGUUCGGUCCCUAUCUGCCGUGGGCGCUGGAGAACUGAGGGGGGCUGCUCCUAGUACGAGAGGACCGGAGUGGACGCAUCACUGGUGUUCGGGUUGUCAUGCCAAUGGCACUGCCCGGUAGCUAAAUGCGGAAGAGAUAAGUGCUGAAAGCAUCUAAGCACGAAACUUGCCCCGAGAUGAGUUCUCCCUGAGACUUAGAGUCUCCUGAAGGAACGUUGAAGACGACGACGUUGAUAGGCCGGGUGUGUAAGCGCAGCGAUGCGUUGAGCUAACCGGUACUAAUGAACCGUGAGGCUUAACCUUACAACGCCGAAG